rnacentral:lncRNA from 1 species
CCUAGAGAGGCCGACGGCGGGCCGCGACGGAGCGUGAGGCGCACCCCACUGCUGUGCUGAGUUGGGGGGUGGUGUCGUAGGCGGGGCGGAAGGAGCCGGGGAAGGCGCGGGUGGUCCCGCGAGGUCUCCGUCCUCCUGCCCCGCCCCCACCGCUGGGAGGGGCGGGGUUAAGUUGCGUCUGCGUAUCUCCGGACUUCGCAGCUUCUGGUCCACUCCUUUCUGCCUCCUGUUGCAGGCCUUAUAUUUGCUGCUAUGUAGUUCAGGGAAGAUGAAGCAAGUGAGGUCUAUUUCAUCUAAAGGAGAC